rnacentral:rRNA from 1 species
GACGAACGCUGGCGGCGUGCUUAACACAUGCAAGUCGAACGGUGAAAGCGGAGCUUGCUCCGCUGGAUCAGUGGCGAACGGGUGAGUAACACGUGGGCAACCUGCCCCUGACUUCGGGAUAACUCCUCGAAAGAGGUGCUAAUACCGGAUCCGAAUCCUGCAGGCAUCUGCGGGAUUGGAAAGUUUUUCGGUCAGGGAUGGGCCCGCGGCCUAGCAGCUUGUUGGUGAGGUAGUGGCUCACCACGGCGACGACGGGUCGACGGCCUGAGCGGGGGACCAGCACCACUGGGACUGAGACACGGCCCAGACUCCUACGGGAGGCAGCAGUGGGGAAUAUUGCGCAAUGGGCGAAAGCGUGACGCAGCAACGCCGCGUGAGGGAUGACGGCCUUCGGGUUGUAAACCUCUUUCAGCAGGGAAGAAGCGAAAGUGACGGUACCAGCAGAAGAAGCACCGGCUAACUACGUGCCAGCCGCCGCCGUAA